CACCUGCGCCACGAGUGGGAGCCACUUUUAUUGGGUCUAAAGCGUUCGUAGCUGGAGUAUUAACUCCCUUGUGAAAUUGUUGUGCUUAACAUAACAUCGUGCAAGGGAAACUGAUACUCUUGAGACUGGGAAGAGGUAGGAGUAUGCCAGGGGGAGCGGUAAAAUGUUAUAAUCCUUGGUAGACUACCUGUGGCGAAGGCGCCUACCUAGAACAGGUCUGACAGUGAGGGACGAAGGCUAGGGGAGCAAAACG
rnacentral:rRNA from 1 species